AGAGUUUGAUCAUGGCUCAGAUUGAACGCUGGCGGCAGGCCUAACACAUGCAAGUCGAGCGGAAACGACACUAACAAUCCUUCGGGUGCGUUAAUGGACGUCGAGCGGCGGACCGGUGAGUAAUGCCUAGGAAAUUGCCUUGAUGUGGGGGAUAACCAUUGGAAACGAUGGCUAAUACCGCAUAAUGCCUACGGGCCAAAGAGGGGGAUCUUCGGACCUCUCGCGUCAAGAUAUGCCUAGGUGGGAUUAUCUAGUUGGUGAGGUAAUGGCUCACCAAGGCGACGAUCCCUAGCUGGUCUGAGAGGAUGAUCAGCCACACUGGAACUGAGACACGGUCCAGACUCCUACGGGAGGCAGCAGUGGGGAAUAUUGCACAAUGGGCGAAAGCCUGAUGCAGCCAUGCCGCGUGUAUGAAGAAGGCCUCCGGGUUGUAAAGUACUUUCAGUUGUGAGGAAGGGUGUGUAGUUAAUAGCUGCGCAUCUUGACGUUAGCAACAGAAGAAGCACCGGCUAACUCCGUGCCAGCAGCCGCGGUAAUACGGAGGGUGCGAGCGUUAAUCGGAAUUACUGGGCGUAAAGCGCAUGCAGGUGGUUCAUUAAGUCAGAUGUGAAAGCCCGGGGCUCAACCUCGGAACUGCAUUUGAAACUGGUGAACUAGAGUGCUGUAGAGGGGGUAGAAUUUCA
rnacentral:rRNA from 1 species